CGGCGUUGGUUGUCCGUGUUUAAGCGUGUAGGUAGGGGGAUUAGGUAAAUCCGGUUCCUCGUUAAUCUGAGACGUGAUGACGAUUCUUUGGGGUGACCCUUAGAAGAAGUAGUCGAUGCCAUACUUCCAGGAAAAACUUCUAAGCUUCAGGUAAGAAUUGACCGUACUGUAAACCGACACAGGUGAUCAGGUAGAGAAUACCAAGGCGCUUGAGAGAACUCGGGUGAAGGAACUAGGCAAAAUGGCACCGUAACUUCGGGAGAAGGUGCGCCGGCUAGGGUGAAGGACUUGCUCCGUAAGCUCUGGCUGGUCGAAGAUACCAGGUGGCUGCGACUGUUUAUUAAAAACACAGUACUCUGCAAACUCGAAAGAGGAAGUAUAGGGUAUGACGCCUGCCCGGUGCCGGAAGGUUAAUUGAUGGGGUUAGCGUAUGCGAAGCUCUUGAUCGAAGCCCCGGUAAACGGCGGCCGUAAC
rnacentral:rRNA from 1 species